rnacentral:rRNA from 1 species
GUUGAACGCUGGCGGCAUGCCUUACACAUGCAAGUCGAACGGCAGCACGGGAGCAAUCCUGGUGGCGAGUGGCGAACGGGUGAGUAAUAUAUCGGAACGUGCCCAGUCGUGGGGGAUAACGUAGCGAAAGCUACGCUAAUACCGCAUACGAUCUAUGGAUGAAAGCGGGGGAUCGCAAGACCUCGCGCGAUUGGAGCGGCCGAUAUCAGAUUAGCUAGUUGGUGGGGUAAAAGCCCACCAAGGCGACGAUCUGUAGCUGGUCUGAGAGGACGACCAGCCACACUGGAACUGAGACACGGUCCAGACUCCUACGGGAGGCAGCAGUGGGGAAUUUUGGACAAUGGGCGCAAGCCUGAUCCAGCAAUGCCGCGUGCAGGAUGAAGGCCUUCAGGUUGUAAACUGCUUUUGUACGGAGCGAAACGGCUCUCUCUAAUACAGGGGGCUAAUGACGGUACCGUAAGAAUAAGCACCGGCUAACUACGUGCCAGCAGCCGCAGUAACAC